rnacentral:rRNA from 1 species
AACGAACGCUGGCGGCAUGCCUAACACAUGCAAGUCGAACGAGACCUUCGGGUCUAGUGGCGCACGGGUGCGUAACGCGUGGGAACCUGCCCUAGGUUCGGAAUAACUCCCCGAAAGGGGUGCUAAUACCGGAUAAUGUCUUCGGACCAAAGAUUUAUCGCCUUUGGAUGGGCCCGCGUUGGAUUAGCUAGUUGGUAGGGUAAAAGCCUACCAAGGCGACGAUCCAUAGCUGGUCUGAGAGGAUGAUCAGCCACACUGGGACUGAGACACGGCCCAGACUCCUACGGGAGGCAGCAGUGGGGAAUAUUGGACAAUGGGCGAAAGCCUGAUCCAGCAAUGCCGCGUGAGUGAUGAAGGCCUUAGGGUUGUAAAGCUCUUUUACCCGGGAUGAUAAUGACAGUACCGGGAGAAUAAGCUCCGGCUAACUCCGUG